UCGUUGGGAAGCCAAUUCAUCACAGAUUCAAUCACAAGGGGAAAAUCAACUAAAAAGAGAAAAAAAUGAAAAACAAAUCUCUUAAAAAUUCAUCACAAAGAGAGGAGCCCUAGCGUGCCCGCCACCGCCACCAGCUCGUCGCUGUCGUGUCCGCCACCGCAACACCUGCUCCAACCGCCGCCUACUCCUGCGCCCAACUAGGAGGAGGUCGUAGCCGCUGCCGGGGAAGGGGGCUGCCUCAAUGAGGAGAGGAGGACGGGGUGGAGCCGGUGGUCGACUGGACCGACGCGGGAAGCCGACGUCGCCGCCGGAUCCGCCCGUGGGAAGCCGCAGGAGGGCACCUCCACCGCCGCUGCUCACGGUGGGGGAGGGCACCGCCACAGCCGCUUGGAGAGGGCGUCGUCGCCGCCGCUGCUCGACCACCGCAAGAGGGGGAUGGAGGAGGAGGUCAUCACCGCUGCCGAGGAAGGGGGCCACCGCAACGAGGAGAGGAGGACGGGGUGGAGCCGGUGGUCGACCGGAGCGGCGCGGGAAGCCGCUGCGCGCGCGCGGGAGGGGGGGAGGAGGGCGCCGUCGCCAGGCUCUGUCGCCGCCGCGGUCGCUUUGAGAGAGAGGAAGAGGAUCGGGGGAUUGGGCUGAAAUAGAUUUAGGGUUAAGGGUUUGGUUGACCGCUAUUUAUAAUGGUCGUGGAUCCAUCGGUCCCAGCUUCUCCCGCAUGGGGCCAUCGCACUAUUGGGCCGUAUAUUUGGGCCGGGCUAAAAUCAGUGCUUUUUCC
rnacentral:lncRNA from 1 species